AACGAACGCUGGCGGCAUGCCUAACACAUGCAAGUCGAACGAGACCUUCGGGUCUAGUGGCGCACGGGUGCGUAACGCGUGGGAACCUGCCCUUAGGUUCGGAAUAACUCUCCGAAAGGGGUGCUAAUACCGGAUAAUGUCUUCGGACCAAAGAUUUAUCGCCUUUGGAUGGGCCCGCGUUGGAUUAGCUAGUUGGUAGGGUAAAAGCCUACCAAGGCGACAAUCCAUAGCUGGUCUGAGAGGAUGAUCAGCCACACUGGGACUGAGACACGGCCCAGACUCCUACGGGAGGCAGCAGUGGGGAAUAUUGGACAAUGGGCGAAAGCCUGAUCCAGCAAUGCCGCGUGAGUGAUGAAGGCCUUAGGGUUGUAAAGCUCUUUUACCCGGGAUGAUAAUGACAGUACCGGGAGAAUAAGCUCCGGCUAACUCCGUG
rnacentral:rRNA from 1 species